CGCUGGGUGGAGCAGUCUGGUAGCUCGUCGGGCUCAUAACCCGAAGGUCGUUGGUUCAAAUCCAGCCCCCGCAACCA
rnacentral:tRNA from 1 species